GACGAACGCUGGCGGCGUGCUUAACACAUGCAAGUCGAACGGAAAGGCCCUGCUUUUGUGGGGUGCUCGAGUGGCGAACGGGUGAGUAACACGUGAGUAACCUGCCCUUGACUUUGGGAUAACUUCAGGAAACUGGGGCUAAUACCGGAUAGGAGCUCCUGUUGCAUGGUGGGGGUUGGAAAGUUUCGGCGGUUGGGGAUGGACUCGCGGCUUAUCAGCUUGUUGGUGGGGUAGUGGCUUACCAAGGCUUUGACGGGUAGCCGGCCUGAGAGGGUGACCGGCCACAUUGGGACUGAGAUACGGCCCAGACUCCUACGGGAGGCAGCAGUGGGGAAUAUUGCACAAUGGGCGGAAGCCUGAUGCGGCAACGCCGCGUGCGGGAUGACGGCCUUCGGGUUGUAAACCGCUUUCGCCUGUGACGAAGCGUGAGUGACGGUAAUGGGUAAAGAAGCACCGGCUAACUACGUGCCAGCAGCCGCGGUGAUACGUAGGGUGCGAGCGUUGUCCGGAUUUAUUGGGCGUAAAGGGCUCGUAGGUGGUUGAUCGCGUCGGAAGUGUAAUCUUGGGGCUUAACCCUGAGCGUGCUUUCGAUACGGGUUGACUUGAGGAAGGUAGGGGAGAAUGGAAUUCCUGGUGGAGCGGUGGAAUGCGCAGAUAUCAGGAGGAACACCAGUGGCGAAGGCGGUUCUCUGGGCCUUUCCUGACGCUGAGGAGCGAGAGCGUGGGGAGCGAACAGGCUUAGAUACCCUGGUAGUCCACGCUGUAAACGGUGGGUACUAGGUGUGGGGUCCAUUCCACGGGUUCCGUGCCGUAGCUAACGCUUUAAGUACCCCGCCUGGGGAGUACGGCCGCAAGGCUAAAACUCAAAGGAAUUGACGGGGCCCCGCACAAGCGGCGGAGCAUGCGGAUUAAUUCGAUGCAACGCGUAGAACCUUACCUGGGUUUGACAUGGAUCGGGAGUGCUCAGAGAUGGGUGUGCCUCUUUUGGGGUCGGUUCACAGGUGGUGCAUGCCUGUCGUCAGCUCGUGUCGUGAGAUGUUGGGUUAAGUCCCGCAACGAGCGCAACCCUUGUUCACUGUUGCCAGCACGUUAUGGUGGGGACUCAGUGGAGACCGCCGGGGUCAACUCGGAGGAAGGUGGGGAUGACGUCAAGUCCUCAUGCCCCUUAUGUCCAGGGCUUCACGCAUGCUACAAUGGCUGGUACAGAGAGUGGCGAGCCUGUGAGGGUGAGCGAAUCUCGGAAAGCCGGUCUCAGUUCGGAUUGGGGUCUGCAACUCGACCCCAUGAAGUCGGAGUCGCUAGUAAUCGCAGAUCAGCAACGCUGCGGUGAAUACGUUCCCGGGGC
rnacentral:rRNA from 1 species